rnacentral:rRNA from 1 species
CUAACACAUGCAAGCCGAGCGGUAGAGAUUCUUCGGAAUCUUGAGAGCGGCGUACGGGUGCGGAACACGUUGAUGCAACCUGCCUUUAUCAGGGGGAUAGCCUUUCGAAAGGAAGAUUAAUACCCCAUAAUAUAAUGAGUGGCAUCACUUAUUAUUGAAAACUCCGGUGGAUAGAGAUGGGCACGCGCAAGAUUAGAUAGUUGGUAGGGUAACGGCCUACCAAGUCAGUGAUCUUUAGGGGGCCUGAGAGGGUGAUCCCCCACACUGGUACUGAGACACGGACCAGACUCCUACGGGAGGCAGCAGUGAGGAAUAUUGGACAAUGGGUGAGAGCCUGAUCCAGCCAUCCCGCGUGAAGGACGACGGCCCUAUGGGUUGUAAACUUCUUUUGUAUAGGGAUAAACCUUUCCACGUGUGGAAAGCUGAAGGUACUAUACGAAUAAGCACCGGCUAACUCCGUGCCAGCAGCCGCGGUAAUACGGAGGGUGCAAGCGUUAUCCGGAUUUAUUGGGUUUAAAGGGUCCGUAGGCGGAUCUGUAAGUCAGUGGUGAAAUCUCACAGGCUUAACCUGUGAAACUGCCAUUGAUACCUGCACGGUCUUGAGUAAAGGUAGAAGGUGGCUGGAAUAACGUAGGUGUAGGCCGGUGAAAUGCAUAGAUAUUACUUAGAACACCAAUUGCGAAGGCAGGUCACUAUGUUUUAACUGACGCUGAUGGACGAAAGCGUGGGGAGCGAACAGGAUUAGAUACCCUGGUAGUCCACGCCGUAAACGAUGCUAACUCGUUUUUGGGUUUUCGGAUUCAGAGACUAAGCGAAAGUGAUAAGUUAGCCACCUGGGGAGUACGUUCGCAAGAAUGAAACUCAAAGGAAUUGACGGGGGCCCGCACAAGCGGUGGAUUAUGUGGUUUAAUUCGAUGAUACGCGAGGAACCUUACCAAGGCUUAAAUGGGAAUUGAUGGGUUUAGAAAUAGACCGUCCCUUCGGGCAAUUUUCAAGGUGCUGCAUGGUUGUCGUCAGCUCGUGCCGUGAGGUGUUAGGUUAAGUCCUGCAACGAGCGCAACCCCUGUCACUAGUUGCCAUCAUUAAGUUGGGGACUCUAGUGAGACUGCCUACGCAAGUAGAGAGGAAGGUGGGGAUGACGUCAAAUCAUCACGGCCCUUACGCCUUGGGCCACACACGUAAUACAAUGGCCGGUACAGAGGGCAGCUACCUAGCGAUAGGAUGCAAAUCUCGAAAGCCGGUCUCAGUUCGGAUUGGAGUCUGCAACUCGACUCUAUGAAGCUGGAAUCGCUAGUAAUCGCGCAUCAGCCAUGGCGCGGUGAAUACGUUCCCGGGCCUUGUACACACCGCCCGUCAAGCCAUGGAAGUCUGGGGUACCUGAAGUCCGUGACCGUAACAGGAGCUGCCUAGGGUAAAACAGGUAACUAGGGC